AGAAACUUGAAAACUACCGUUGGAUCGAAGAAUGAAAGUACGUUUAAGAUUCGUCCACGUCAUGAUCACUCAUGAGUAAAAUUUUUACUCAUGAGUAAAAUUUUUACUCGUGAUGAUGUGGACGAAUCUCGGAUAUUCAUUUUUUAUCCAACGGUAGUUCCCAGGUUUUU
rnacentral:pre_miRNA from 1 species